rnacentral:tRNA from 1 species
GAGGGUACAGCUCAGUGGUAGAGCACAUGCUUAGUGUGCAUGAGGUCCUGGUUUCAAUCCCCAGUACCUCCU